rnacentral:rRNA from 1 species
GUUUAUAGUCAUACCACACGAAACUCACCCAAUCUUGCUUGAUCUUGAGAGCUAAGCAGGGUUCAGUUUGGUUAGUAGUUAGGAGAGGCUGCAUGACAUAGCUUAAUGCUGAAGACA